rnacentral:rRNA from 1 species
UACGGAGGGUGCGAGCGUUAAUCGGAAUUACUGGGCGUAAAGGGCUCGUAGGCGGCCAACUAAGUCAGACGUGAAAUCCCCAGGCUUAACCUGGGAACUGCGUCUGAUACUGGAUGGCUUGAAUUCGGGAGAGGGAUGCAGAAUUCCAGGUGUAGCGGUGAAAUGCGUAGAUAUCUGGAGGAAUACCGGUGGCGAAGGCGGCAUCCUGGACCGAGAUUGACGCUGAUGAGCGAAAGCUAGGGGAGCAAACGGG